rnacentral:tRNA from 1 species
GGGCCCGUCGUCUAGUACGGAUAGGACACCCGCCUGCGGAGCGGGAAGUCCCGGGUUCGAGUCCCGGCGGGCCCA